GCGAGUACUCCAGUGAGGCCCGCCCCUCUGGGCUCUCGGUCCUUCCCGCUCGCUCCGGUCACUUCCGAAGCGAGAGAACCGCCAUGAAGAGAGAAGCGGGUGCCGCCCACCUCUGCUCCGACAGCGUCCCCGAGUCCCAGCGGCACGACGGCAACCACGCACCCACGCUCUCCGUCCACAGCUCAUGCCGCCGUCGCCAGCGGCGCCGACAUGACAAGGCGCUGCAUGCCCGCUAGGCCAGGUUUCCCCUCGUCCCCAGCCCCGGGGUCGUCGCCCCCGCGCUGCCAUCUGAGACCCGAUGGUACCGCCCCUGCCGCUGCGGGAAAGACAGCAAAGAGUCCUGGGGACAGGAAGCAGUCAAUUAUAGAUUUCUUCAAACCGGCUUCAAAACAAGAGAGACAUAUGUUGGAUUCGCCACAAAAAACAAACAUCAAAUAUGGAGGAAGUGGAUUAUCCAUCACGGGGACAGAGCAGUUUCAAAGGAAACUAUCCUCACCAAAAAAAUCUAAACCCAAAAGAAUGCCAUCGGGAAAAAGCCCUAUUAUAGAAUCUUUGAUGAAAGGUGUUAAAGAGCAGCAUAAAGAUCGUGGUGUACACAAGUCCCGUCGGCCUUAUGUGUCACUGGUCUCUGAAUAUUUUUCAAAAGGAACAAAUUUCAGUGUUUCUCAUUCAUAUUAUUUGUCUAAAGAAAUGAAGGCCCUGAAGAAAAAACAUCGGUCUCCAGAGAGAAAGAAGUCACUGUUUAUUCAUGAAAAUAGCAGGGAGAAAAAUGAUGGAGAUGGAGGAAAGACUAAUGCGGACUCCAGAAAGCCAACCAUGGUGACAGAAGCUGACAUCUUCAAGAGCAGCUCUGCAAGUCUUAGUAGCAGGAGCAGUCUUUCCAGGCAUCACCCGGGAGAAAGCCCACUGGGAACUACUAGUUUUCAGAGGUCGCUAGCUUCAUAUUGCAAAGAACGAGAAUUAAAGAAGUUGAGAAAGGAGCAAAUGAAGCAGAAAAUCAACUCAGAAAAUUCCUUCUCAGAAGCGAGUAAUCUUUCUUUAAAAUCUGCCAGUCCAAGAAGAAAAUGUAAACCAAGGCAGGAACAUAGUAAACAGAGUGAUAUACCUGGAAAAAGUAAUCUUUCAAACUUGGAAAAUGGACAUCUUUCGAGAAAGAGAUCCUGUUCUGAUUCAUGGGAACCUGCUUCAGGCUCUAAGCAGAAUAAAUUCUCUGACAAAAGAAAAAGGAACUCUGUGGACUCAGAUCUCAAAAGCACAAGAGAAUCUAUGAUACCAAAAGCAAAAGAGCCUUUCCUUGAGAAGCGUCCUGAUGGAUCACAACAGAAAGAAAAAUUCAUAAGACAUAUUGCACUGAAGACACCUGGUGAUGUGCUGCGUUUAGAGGAUAUAUCCAUGGAAACGAGUGAUAAAAUUGGUUGCUCCUCUACAGGCUUGGCACCUUCAAAUUCUGGCCACCAUUCUCCCAGGAAUAGUGACCAAAUCCGUGCGGCAAGUACCAAAGAGACUAAGAUACAAAAACCCCAUCUGUCUUUACCUCAGGAAAAGUCUACAAGUAAAAAAGCUAGCACCCCUCAGAAAACGAAAAGUGCUAGCUCCGAGACGUUGAAAGAGACAAAGCCUCUGCCUUUACUUAACCGUGUUCCCAGUGCUGGUUCCUCUCAGGUGCCAUUAAACGCUCAAAAUUGCGCUCUCCCAGGUCCUGAGAAAGAGAAAGAGCGUUCCUCAUCUAAAGAUUGUUCUGGGCCUUCAGCAGUAUCCUCCAAGCACAGAGAACACAAAGCAAAGACUAAUAAGACUGAUUCUAAUACGCCUUCAGGGAAAAUUUCUGAGGGCUCUUUGUGUGCAGAAUAUGGCACUUCUACCAAGACUUCUCUGGAAGUUGUGCCAUGUAACCCAAGCCCUACAGCACCUCCAGAUAAAGCCCCUUCCGAUAAGGAGAGUUCAGGAAAUUCCAGUGCAGGUAGCAAUGCACUGAAAAGAAAAUUAAGGGGUGAUUUUGAUAGUGAUGAAGAAAGUUUAGGUUACAACCUAGACAGUGAUGAGGAAGAAGAACCAUUAGAAUCACUGGCAGAAAUAAUGGCCUUGAACUUCAGUCAGACUCCUACAACUUCAGCAAAGCCUCCUGCUCUUUCGAAGGGGCUUCCUUCUCAGUCACCAGACUACAAAGAGCAUGUUCAUAGUGGCACUUACACAAAUACUUUGGAGCGUCUAGUGAAGGAAAUGGAAGACACACAAAGGCUAGAUGAACUACAGAAGCAACUACAAGAAGACAUAAGGCAGGGUCGAGGCAUUAAAUCUCCAAUUAGAAUUGGAGAUCAAGACAGUACGGAUGAUGAGGAUGACCUCUUAGAAGAACACAGAGAAUUUCUAAAGAAAUUUUCAGUUACAAUUGAUGCUAUUCCUGAUCAUCACCCAGGUGAAGAAAUAUUUAAUUUCCUCAAUUCUGGAAAGAUUUUCAAUCAGUAUACAUUGGAUUUAAGAGACUCUGGUUUUAUCGGACAAAGUGCUGUAGAAAAGCUUAUUCUCAAAUCAGGAAAAACAGAUCAGAUUUUUUUGACAACACAAGGCUUCCUUACUUCUGCUUAUCAUUAUGUCCAGUGUCCUGUACCUGUGUUAAAGUGGUUGUUUCGGAUGAUGUCAGUUCAUACAGACUGUAUUGUGUCGGUGCAGAUUUUAAGUACGUUGAUGGAAAUAACAAUUAGAAAUGAUUCUUUCAGCGACUCAGCGGUUUGGCCCUGGAUACCGUCACUGUCUGACAUAGCAGCUGUGCUUCUCAAUCUAGGGAUUGGCUUUCGGUCUUUGUUUCCUCUGGAGAAUUUUCAGCCAGACUUUAAUGAAGACGAUCUAGUUUCUGAAACACAGAUGACACUGGGAGAAAAAGGAAGUGAAGAUUCAUCUUCUAAACCAAUUUUUUCAACUCUUCCUGAAUCCAAUAUCUUAAAUGUGGUUAAGUUCCUAGGCUUGUGUACAUCUAUACAUCCAGAGGGUUACCAAGACCGUGAGCUAAUGCUGCUGACCCUAAUGUUGUUCAAAAUGAGUUUGGAAAAACAGCUGAAACAGAUUCCUCUAGUGGACUUUCAGAGCCUCCUGAUAAACCUGAUGAAAAACCUCAGGGAUUGGAAUACAAAGAUGCCUGAACUCUGUCUGGGCAUAAAUGAACUCUCCAGUCAUCCUCACAACCUUCUGUGGUUGGUACAGCUGGUCCCCAACUGGACAUCACGUGGAAGGCAAUUGAGACAGUGCCUCAGUCUAGCAAUUAUUUCAAAGCUUCUGGAUGAGAAACAUGAAGAUGUCCCUAAUGCCAGUAAUCUUCAGAUAUCAAUCCUACAUCACUAUCUAGUGCAAAUGAAACCUUCUGACUUGUUAAAGAAAAUGGUCUUGAAGAAAAGGGCUGAACAACCAGAUGGCACUAUUGAUGACAGUCUUCACCUAGAACUUGAAAAGCAGGCCUAUUACCUGACCUACAUUCUUCUUCAUUUAGUUGGUGAAGUUAGUUGUUCCCAUUCUUUCUCUUCUGGACAACGGAAACACUUUGUGCUGCUCUGUGGGGCUCUGGAAAAGCAUGUGAAGUGUGAUAUUAGGGAAGAUGCAAGACUUUUUUACAGAACUAAAGUGAAAGACCUGGUUGCCAGGAUACAUGGAAAAUGGCAGGAAAUAAUCCAGAACUGUCGGCCUACUCAGGUGUCACUUUAUUAAACAGUGUUAUUUAUUCUUAAUAGUUUUACUAAAUAAAUGGGCCUAAUUAUAUGAAGAUAAACUGAAAACACCAAUAUAAUAUAUGGGGCAACUUCAUGACUUCUGGGUACCAGAUUCUUAACAGGAAUUGCAGCAGCAAAACGAAGAACCCAGAGAAAUCCCCUGGGAACCCGCCCAGGAGGAGUAAAAAGCAUUACUGUGGAAUCCAGUGGGUGUAAAGAAAAUCCAUAGCAGAUGUGCUGCUUGAAAACUGAAUGAGGCUGGUAAUGAAACUGCCAUUUCUGAAGUAGAUAGGAAAUGUUAUCUGCUUAGGUGUUAAGGCAGCUGGCCUUUUAAAGAGCAGAGCCUAAAGAGGAGGGAAGGGAUGGAAGCAGCUAGUAGUUACAUGUCUGAGCUGCCUGUACUGACCCUCUUGUUAUACUAUAAGCCAGUUAUCUUUCCUAGGUAGUAUUUGUGGCACCUGGAUAAUCACAGGAAAUGAAGAAAAGUUUGGACCAGCUUGAGGAAUUGGACAUUAGAAACCAAGACCAAGUUUCAAUUGGGUUUAAUUUUUAUUGGUUGUUUUAGGAUGCAAAGGGAAAGCUUGUUAACAAUUUACUAAUAAAAGCAUAGAUCUCUUCUGUAACUCCUAUAAACCACAGGUUCUAAUCCAUGCAGUCUGCUUUACUAUUUUAGGUUAUAGCUCAGUGGUUCCAGCGCCUGCCUCGCAAGCGCAAGGUCCCAACUUCGAUCGCCGGUACCAAAAAAUAAAAAGACAGUGGCUCUGUUUUUAAAAUACCAGAACAUUCAUAUGUAGUUUGUUUUGGAUUUCUUUUAAAUGCUUGUAUCUUUGGAAAUACUGGUUAAAUCUUAGAAUUCUGGCCCUUAAUAACAGUAUUACAGAAGUCUGUUAUAAAAGCUUAAAGACCUGGAAAUGUCUCCAAAUACUUUGUUGCUAUGAGUUUGUAACUCUGGUGGAGACCUGGAUCAAGUGUGUUUACUCUUUGGGACCUGAGGGGUUGUCUGCAAGCAUGUGUGCUGGUGCCUGGAGGUUGUUGCACUUGGAAACUAGAGCUGCUCUAAACUCUGAAACACUGGAAAGCCGUCCUCCAGAAGUGGUGAGGCCUGGAGUACACGAGUACACGUGCUGGCUUCCGCCCAAAGGCCCUUGGAGCCUGCCCUGGUCACAGACCACACUAACCAGUUGAAGGGUUCUUGUGGUGACUGAGGGUCCCCGAAGGAGGCAUUGUUUCCUGAAAGAGAGCACCAGCUUUUCUGUUACUGUUCUUUCUGUGUUGGCUCAGAGGACUUGCUCCAAGUGUUCUGAUGUCUUGUUGGUGGGAAGGAAAAUGAUGGGGGGUUGACGUUUAUGGUUUGAGAGGGGAGAAAAUAAACUUUGAGAGCGUUCUACCUCUGCACUGAGGUGUAGGAGUAAAACAUUUUUAUCUUCAGUCUAUCAUUUAUUAUAACACCAGUUGAUUUUUGGCCCUGGGGAUUUCGCUCAGUGGCGCCACACCUGCCUCGGAAGCACAAGGUCCUGAGUUCGAUCCCCGGUACCAAAAACAAUCAGUCAACUUGUGAGCUCAUGUCAAGCAUUGGGCAGUUAGUUUUUACAAGUAAAAUAAAUCCAGUUUCCAAAAACCCAGGCUGAGUGAGUCCCCAAGAGUCAGACCAACAAAAGUUUUAUUGUGUUGAGUUUACUGAUGAGCAUAUUUUGAUACUACCUCUCAAGGGUAUUGUUGCAAAAUGCCACUUAGGGUUAAAGAGAUAGAUACAGCCAGGUCUGGUGGCGCACACCAGUAACCCCAGCACUGUGGGAGGCUGAGGCAGGGGUCACAAGUUUGAGCCCAGCCUGGGUGACCUAGUGAGACCCUGUCUCAGAAUAAACACUUUAAAAGGGGCUGGGGAUGUGGUUCAGUGCAAAGGCCCUGGGUUCAAUUCCCAGUACCACCAAAAAAAAGAAAAAGAAAAAAGAGAGAAAUGCAAAGAGUUGUAUUUGACAGAAGCUUGAGACUCUCAUCUAUCUGCCCAACAGUGGGGUUUUCACUCUGUAAUUUAAUAAUUUGUAGAUAACAUUAUUUGUGUGUAAUUUUGUAAGUGUUCAUAUAUUUUUCAUUUUGCUUUGUGUAAAGUGUACAAAAUUUCAAAGUAUAAAAUACUGCUUAUACUGCUUGUAAUACAGUGUGUAAAUAUUUUCUAGUAGUGUACAUUGACGGGGCAAGUGGGUUAUUCAGGUUUUUUUAGUGACCCUUUUGUAUUGCAGUUUCAACAGAUGACUGCCCAUCAAAUUUAAAACCACUUUGAUAUAUUUUUAUUUAGCAGUUCCAGUAAGAAUAAUCUAUUUUUAAUUGUCUUUCUCCAUUAAAGCAAAGCGCUUCAUCUGUUCUUUUAAAGUGGAGCCGGACGUCAGUGUAGGCCUGGCCUCUACUCGCAGGAGGCAGUUGGUUCUGUCUUUGGGUUCUCGUAGAAAUGUGAGAUUCUCCUCUUGAAGCACAAGUAGCCCCUAGUUUUCCUCCCAAGUCAGGUGUUUUCCUCUCCCUCUUGGGUCCCCAGGCCUGUCUCCCUCCUGCUGGUGCCCAGGGAGUGGGGGAGAGCGGGAGAAACAUGCGCUGCAGUGCCAGGCGCCUUGGGGCUCGGCCACAGCUUGCACGGGGGCACCUGGUCUCACCGCCUGCACACGUGUGUGAGCCUGCCGGCCCCAUGCAAGCAGAAGAUUAAGGUACUUGUGUUUUUGUUUUUGUGUGUACCUGUUUGCCUUUUCUAGCCUUUCCUUGUUCUCUGAAAAGAAUUCUGUUAGUUACAUUAAGUGAAGAGGCUCUCCAUAUACAAAAUGCAUCUGUGUCGCAGUAAAGUAACAGUAUUUGUACAUUUGCUGUCUGUUCCCUGAUGGCAGUGGUUGGUGCCUUUGUCAGCUUUUAGAAGGUUGGCGUUUUGUUUUGUUUUGAAACACAAGCAGUAGCUUUGCUUUGACUUCACAAAAAUUUCCCCAGAUGUAAAAGAUAAAUAAUGAAGUGUUAUCUUCCAGCUUCAGUUAGACUGUUUGUAUUUUUAUAUUUAUCAAAACAGAUACAGUUGUUGGGGACCGGCCAGUGAUAAUGUAUGGAGUCCUGAAGCCAAGAGUAACCUUUACAUUUAAAAAUUAGAAUUUUAAGAAAUGCCAGGCGUGGUGGUGCACACCUGUGAUUCCAGCAUCCAGGAGGCUGAGGCAGGAAGGUCAAGGCCUGCCUGGACUACAUAUAGCGAGAUUUGUCUCCAAAAACCAAAAGAAUUUUAAGAAAUGACCACUGACAAGCAACUGAGUUGGCAAAACAGGAGAUGACAUCCUGGUGUGUCCGGGCGGCACGUGGAGCAGUUAGCGUGAUGGUGGCAGUGACUUCCUGUCAGUCAGCAGUGUGCUGCACCAUGCUCGCACGCGUGUGUUUGCUCCCCGGUGUUUGCUUCCUGUCAGCGGGUCAGUCCCCCGGCUGCCAGGCAGUAAGUGCAGAUUUCUCUUUCCUUUUGCUUUUCUUUUUUAAGGUUUUUAUACUACAUCUUGUUAAACUCCUAAGAAUGUAUGUGUGUGUUAUUAAAACUGCUUUUUCUCAGUUGGAA